rnacentral:rRNA from 1 species
UACGGAGGGUGCAAGCGUUAUCCGGAUUCACUGGGUUUAAAGGGUGCGUAGGUGGGUUGGUAAGUCAGUGGUGAAAUCUCCGAGCUUAACUUGGAAACUGCCAUUGAUACUAUCAGUCUUGAAUACCGUGGAGGUCAGCGGAAUAUGUCAUGUAGCGGUGAAAUGCUUAGAUAUGACAUAGAACACCAAUUGCGAAGGCAGCUCACUACUCAAUCAUUGACUCUGAGGCACGAAAGCGUGGGGAUCAAACAGG